rnacentral:rRNA from 1 species
GAUGAACGCUGGCGGCGUGCCUAAUACAUGCAAGUCGAGCGAGAUGUUAGUGCAUGAACCUUCGGGGGAUUAUACUAACGGACAGCGGCGGACGGGUGAGUAACGCGUAGGCAACCUGCCCCUGACAGAGGGAUAGCCAUUGGAAACGAUGAUUAAAACCUCAUGACACCGUAGAAGCACAUGCUUCAUCGGUCAAAGAUUUAUCGGUCAGGGAUGGGCCUGCGUCUGAUUAACUAGUUGGUGAGGUAACGGCUCACCAAGGUGACGAUCAGUAGCCGACCUGAGAGGGUGAUCGGCCACAUUGGAACUGAGACACGGUCCAAACUUCUACGGAAGGCAGCAGUAGGGAAUCUUGCACAAUGGGCGAAAGCCUGAUGCAGCAACGCCGCGUGAAGGAUGAAGGCCUUCGGGUUGUAAACUUCUGUUCUAAGGGAAGAAACAAAUGACGGUACCUUAGGAGCAAGCCCCGGCUAACUACGUGCCAGCAGCCGCGGUAAUACGUAGGGGGCAAGCGUUAUCCGGAAUUAUUGGGCGUAAAGAGUGCGUAGGUGGUUACCUAAGCGCAAGGUUUAAUUUAGAGGCUCAACCUCUACUUGCCUUGCGAACUAGGCUACUUGAGUGCAGGAGGGGAAAGCGGAAUUCCUAGUGUAGCAGUGAAAUGCGUAGAUAUUAGGAGGAACACCAGCGGCGAAGGCGGCUUUCUGGACUGUAACUGACACUGAGGCACGAAAGCGUGGGGUAGCAAACAGG